GUGGAGAGAGAGAUAGAGGUUUUCCACCGUCGAGGAGCGCCGUCGAGCCACCGAAAGAGACGCCGUGAUUCUUCCCCGAGGAGAGAUGACGAAAGAGAGGCGGAGUGGUGGAGGAGAGCUAGAGAGACGCGUCGUCGUCGAUCAAAUAGGACACAAUCGACGACUCCACCGCCAGAUACGAGGUUUCCACCGACACAGACGCCGAUGGCUUCAUCCGGUCGGUGAGAAAUCGAUAAACCCCGGCGGAUUCGACGAAGAAAGGUGAAGAGACGCUGUUUCGUCUACGCGAAGGAGAGAAAGAGAGACGCC
rnacentral:lncRNA from 1 species